UUUCAGGACAUGUAGCAAGCUAGGGAUUGACAUUUCAGGACAUGUAGCAAGCUAGGGAUUGACAUUUCAGGACAUGUAGCAAGCUAGGGAUUGACAUUUCAGGACAUGUAGCAAGCUAGGGAUUGACAUUUCAGGACAUGUAGCAAGCUAGGGAAUGGCAUUUCAGGACAUGUAGCAAGCUAGGUAUUGACAUUUCAGGACAUGUAGCAAGCUAGGGAAUGACAUUUCAUGACAUGUUGUAGCAAGCUAGGGAAUGACAUUUCAGGACAUGUAGUAAGCUAGGGAAUGACAUUUCAGGACAUGUUGUAGCAUGCUUGGGAAUGACAUUUCAGGACAUGUAGCAAGCUAUGGAAUGACAUUUCAGGACAUGUAGCAAGCUAGGGAAUGGCAUUUCAGGACAUGUAGCAAGCUAGGGAAUGACAUUUCAGGCCAUGUAGCAAGCUAGGGAAUGACAUUUCAGGACAUGGAGCAAGCUAGGGAAUGACAUUUCAGGACAUGUUGGAGCAAGCUAGGGAAUGACAUUUCAGGACAUGUUGUAGCAUGCUUGGGAAUGACAUUUCAGGACAUGUAGCAAGCUGGGGAAUGGCAUUUCAGGACAUGUAGCAAGCUAGGGAAUGGCAUUUCAGGACAUGUAGCAAGCUAGGUAUUGACAUUUCAGGACAUGUAGCAAGCUAGGGAAUGACAUUUCAGGACAUGUAGCAAGCUAGGGAAUGGCAUUUCAGGACAUGUAGCAAGCUAGGUAUUGACAUUUCAGGACAUGUAGCAAGCUAGGGAUUGUUUAACUUCAAAUGUUGCCACCUGCAUGGUUACAAUCUAUUCAUGUCUAAACUGAGUUUGUAUGUUAAUUAUGUGUGGGAGGUUUCCAUUGUUAUCAAGGUUGUACUUCAUCACUGCAUGUUGAUAUGUGGUUGAUGUAAAACAUCAUGUUUUUAUUUUGAUUAAAUGUUCACAUUUUA